AUGGUGUAACUGGCAACACGUCUGAUUUUGGUUCAGAAGAGUCCAGGUUCGAAACCUGGUCGGUCAACCA
rnacentral:tRNA from 1 species